UCAAGGCAGGGGGAUGUUCCGCAUUUCACAUGUCACCGGCCCAACAUGUGUUUGUGCUUUACAGUGGUGGUCCUGUAGAGAGCGGUAGAUAGUUUUAAUAAGUGGUUACCCAGCCGAGCUCCCCUUACUGUACCGUACACAAGCGGAGGGAGGAGCGACCGUGUAGUAUUUCUUUUUUGCUUCUUUCCCUCCUUUCGUUGCAGCCCAUCCAAACGCUACUUGAAGGCAUCAUAAAAAAGGGGGAACAAACAACUAAUUUUCACGCAAAAGCUUGGUAGGAAAGGAGGACAGGGAUCGGUGUGAUUUUUGGCAGUCCGAGCCGCAGCAGCUUAGCGGACGACUGGGCUUCGGAGUGAGCGGGACGUGUAGGCGCUGCACACCGGAGGAACUCUGCUGAUUUUCUCCCGCUUUAUUUCCGCCUAAUGCCCAAAUAUCCAACCCGAACUGGUGUCCAGACCGCGUGGGGGUAACCGACGAGUUCCCUAAGAGCCACAUUGGGACGAAAGCUGGACUGAAAUGUAAAGAAACAACACUGAAGUGAAGAAAACUGAAAAACCAAGGGCGGAGACGAGGCGGACCAUACAACGCAGGAGGCCUGGGGAAAUCAUUAACCGCACACAAAUGCAUGCAAUAUGACUGAUUGGAUCCCAUUCCACUCUCCGCAUUCCUGGGACUGAUAUCCACCUCAAGCCCCUGGCCGCAGUGCCAGCUGAUUGACCUCCAACAUCUUCCAUACUUUGCUGCAGUUUCAUAGCGAGCCCACCUCA